CGAGAGACCUGGGUCUCACAUCAGGGCUGUGCUCCCGCGGCUUCCAGCAAGAGGCCUUUUUGAUGAUCUCUGCCACAUCCCCCCUGUACUAACACCUUGGCAAUUUGAACUUUGAACAGAAGUUACUCCGGAAGGAAGCCACGCCUUCCAAGACUGAUUGACAGGAAAGCUCCAUGCUGCUGCUGCAAUACUAAUCUGAAUGUGUUCCCGGGUCGUAGAAACUCAUCCCUGACUCCAGACAGAGCUCUCUCUUACUCCCUUCGAGGCAGCGGCGCUUUGGCAUUCACAUGUACCACACAUACGGCUACCUGCUGCCAGGAAGCAGUCCAGCCCGGGUCCGGCUGCUUGGCUGGUUGUGUUGGGAGCUAUGAUUGAGAUGGAGCCAACUCAUGACUGCCAAUGGCCGUGCCUCUCGCCAUGCUGUGGCUCUCUGCCUUCUGCUGCUAUUCAGAUUGCAAUCUCAAGAGUGGGGUCCUGGGUGAGCAGAGAUGAUUGGAGGAA